rnacentral:rRNA from 1 species
GACGAACGCUGGCGGCGUGCUUAACACAUGCAAGUCGAACGGAAAGGCCCCUUCGGGGGUACUCGAGUGGCGAACAGGUGAGUAACACGUGAGUAACCUGCCCUUGACUUCGGGAUAACUUCAGGAAACUGGGGCUAAUACCGGAUAGGAAUCCUUGCUGCAUGGUGGGGGUUGGAAAGCUUCGGCGGUUUUGGAUGGACUCGCGGCUUAUCAGCUUGUUGGUGGGGUAGUGGCUUACCAAGGCUUUGACGGGUAGCCGGCCUGAGAGGGCGACCGGCCACAUUGGGACUGAGAUACGGCCCAGACUCCGAAGGGAGGCAGCAGUGGGGAAUAUUGAACCAUGGGCGGAAGCCUGAUGCAGAAACGCCGCGUGCGGGAUGACGGCCUUCGGGUUGUAAACCGCUUUCAGCAGGGGCGAAGCUUGUGGUGACGGUACCUGCAGAAGAAGCACCGGCUAACUACGUG